GUCAGGAUAGUGCAGGGCUAGGGUGUUCGACUCCCACUCGAAAGGUACAGAGUUCUAGUCUCAAUGUUCGUGGCCGA